UAUAUGUGGAUGUAACUCCAUGCUAUAUCAGGAGGUGAUGACUGGUGCACCUUCUGCAGCUAUAUGGCUACCUGGGCACUAUAUGUGGAUGUAACUCCAUGCUAUAUCAGGAGGUGAUGACUGGUGCACCUUCUGCAGCUAUAUGGCUACCUGGGCACUAUAUGUGGAUGUAACUCCAUGCUGUAUCAGGAGGUGAUGACUGGUGCACCUUCUGCAGCUAUAUGGCUACCUGGGCACUAUAUGUGGAUGUAACUCCAUGCUAUAUCAGGAGGUGAUGACUGGUGCACCUUCUGCAGCUAUAUGGCUACCUGGGCACUAUAUGUGGAUGUAACUCCAUGCUGUAUCAGGAGGUGAUGACUGGUGCACCUUCUGCAGCUAUAUGGCUACCUGGGCAAUAUAUGUGGAUGUAACUCCAUGCUAUAUCAGGAGGUGAUGACUGGUGCACCUUCUGCAGCUAUAUGGCUACCUGGGCACUAUAUGUGGAUGUAACUCCAUGCUAUAUCAGGAGGUGAUGACUGGUGCACCUACUGCAGCUAUAUGGCUACCUGGGCACUAUAUGUGGAUGUAACUCCAUGCUAUAUCAGCAGGUGAUGACUGGUGCACCUACUGCAGCUAUAUGGCUACCUGGGCACUAUAUGUGGAUGUAACUCCAUGCUAUAUCAGCAGGUGAUGACUGGUGCACCUUCUGCAGCUAUAUGGCUACCUGGGCACUAUAUGUGGAUGUAACUCCAUGCUAUAUCAGGAGGUGAUGACUGAUGCACCUUCUGCAGCUAUAUGGCUACCUGGGCACUAUAUGUGGAUGUAACUCCAUGCUAUAUCAGGAGGUGAUGACUGGUGCACCUUCUGCAGCUAUAUGGCUACCUGGGCACUAUAUGUGGAUGUAACUCCAUGCUAUAUCAGGAGGUGAUGACUGGUGCACCUACUGCAGCUAUAUGGCUACCUGGGCACUAUAUGUGGAUGUAACUCCAUGCUAUAUCAGGAGGUGGGGACUAAUAUAACAGGAGUCGUGAUAUCACUAUACAAGGCACUGUCUGACGAUGUCCUACAGUCUGACCAGUAUUUACCCAUUUAGACUAGGUCAGAUAAUAGACUGUACCGUUCCAACAGACUUCCUGUUCAUAGAAUAAAGAUGGUUCACCGAAGUAG